AUGGUCAAACAACUAUGUCAAGCGCAUACUCCUGCUCACUCCAAUUGCUACAGCUUAGAACAACACCCUUCCAUCUGCCCAUCUUCUCACACUUGGGACUGGGAAAGUUCUUGGUUAGGAGGAAAAGCUGUAGAAAAUGCUUACUUCAAGAAAGCUGAGCAAGAGAAGUUGGAGAAACUUGCUCGCAAGAGUCCUCAACCAGAAGCAAAGCCAGCUGCAGGCUCAAGUGGUACAGUAACCGAUGCCAAACCAUAA